AUCUAAAAUGGCAGAUAGAUGUAUAGGAUUUAAGCUCCUACUAGGAAGAUCUCCCUUCUUUUAGA
rnacentral:tRNA from 1 species